rnacentral:lncRNA from 1 species
CUUCGUUGCAGUGGAAAUAAACAGAGUAGUGCAUGUGAAUUGCUUUUGAGUAACCGUUCAGCAAUGCCAGAUGACAGAGGAUUGGAACGAGAUUCACCAAUUAUUUCAGCCAUUCUUGCAUCUCCUGUUAUACAACUGGCAUUACCAAAGCCAAAAACACUUUUAGCGCUGAUGAUG